CAGCGCACGCGCUUCUCAGCUCGGCUCUGCCUCUCUCGAUCUCCUCUCCAAACCCUAACCCUAACCACCAGCCUCCACUCCCUGUCGCGCCGCCGCCUCCGCUCCCUGCCGCGCCGCCGCCUCCGCUUCCUGCCGCGUCGCCACCUCUGCUCGCCCUCGGGUCGUCGCUUCCGCUCGCCCUCGCGUCGUCGCAUCGCCUCCUCCUCCUCGCCAUCUCGGUGCUCACCGGGAGGAGCACGGCUCGCCACCGCAGCUACUCCGCGUCGCUGCUCCCCCAUUGAGCUCGUGCGUCCCCAUCGCCUGGAGAAGCGGAGGCUGCAGCUCCUGCAUCUGCUCGGCCCUCUUUCCCUCGUCAGUGAGCGGCUCAUGGCAGCUUCAGAUCCACUGUGCAGCACAUGUUGUCUGUUCUGCAAGAUCGACGCUGGCCUUCUACAUCAUGCGGUGGCCAUGGCCAGUGCUCUGCCGCCUCCAACUUAGGCCUCCGUCUCCACUUCAUUAGGUUGACCCCCCCCCCCUUCUCUGACCUUUGCUUUUUCCAUGUAUUGGCUUGCAGGUCGCCACCUGGUGGGUACUGGCUCGAAGGUGACGAGGUACACCAGCAGUUGGAUCAAGACUAUAUGAGGUGAUGACAAACUGUGUAAUCUUCAGAUCCACUUGACCAUAGCAAGUAUCUGCAAGGUCAGAUUCUUGUGUCACUUGCUUAUAUCCGAUGAAGAGAGUCUACUUCAUACAGAUGUUUCAUUUUACCUAGGGAUAAAAAGUGCAAUGUAAAGGUUCAUUAAACAAUCUGAACUUAUAUCUAUUAUUUAGGUGCUGGAUUUGUCUAUUUGAACUUUAUUGGUACUGAAUUUAUCUCGAUGACUGAUAUUCAUUGAUGUAACAUGUGCUGGGAUAAAUAAUAUACAAGUGGAUACGAGGGAUAGAUAAUACAAUAGAUGAGGGCGAGCUUCAGAUUUUUGAGAAGUGUUUUUAAUGAUAACUAAAUUCUUUCAAAGUAAGGGAAUGAUUUAAACUUCUGUCGUAAACAAUGGUGUGCCUCACAUCAUUUGGAUUUGAAAUUAUUGGAUUGAGUUGAUAUGAUGCGAUAUAAGGAAAUAGUCAUCUGCACAUAUACUAAUGUAGAUACAGUCUCUUUGCAACAGAAGUAUUUAUGGAUUUUUUUGUUUCAUUUGUGGCACAAGGGAAACCAUGGUUGAUGAUUCCUUGCCUUUCCAGUGCUUGGGCGCACCUAGCAGCUGCUUCACGCCUCUUGAGAAUGCCGGUAUCCCUUACUUAGGUUGGUGCUGUACGGCUUGGUUGAGCUCAAAAUUCAACGGAGACGGCAAUUGUCAGUUUUGGGCGUCGUCUGUUCAAUUUUACCGAACUCCUGAACACCGUAUAUUUGUACGGCAACAGCUGGUGAAGCAUGUUAGUAUUAUCAAAGUGGCUACUUUUAUCAGGGUCCUUCUCACAGUAACCCUUGAAUCUCAUUGGCUCAUCAUGAGGUAUAUACUGGAUAUGUCCCUAUGGAUUACAGAGAAUAUCUUAAGAAGAUGCCAAAGUCGGUGCCUGCUCCUUUUCACUAUUUAUUUACCAGUAAAUAUUUAUCAAUUAGAGUGGAAGGAUGAACUGUUCGUACAUUUUUAUGCUUAUUACUGAACCAACUAGAGAUGGACAGUGAGGUGAUCAUGUUACACUGCAGGCUGCCACGGACUUGGUAGCAUGUUUCUUCCUCACCUUAUUAUAUUACCAAUCUGUCGCACCUGUAUGUACAUUCUCAGGGUAUCUAUGUAGUGCAUAUAGUUCAUGAUUGACUAAUAGUAAUUUAGUUUUGACUGCCAUCAUAUCAGAAUAGUUAGAUUGCAGUUUCAAUCAUAAAUAGCUCAGUUUAUGAUUGAACUAUUGCUGCUGUCCAAGACCUUUCGAUUUUAUAUCCGGGUGAUCUUUCUGUUGGACUUUCUGAUCCUCCUAGCUGCACCUUGGCGAAGUCUGUCGGAAUUUCUGAUUCUGAUAACGAUCAGUACGUGUGAUGGUCCAUUAAUCAUUUUGUUGAAAGUGCAUUUUUAAAAGAAACUUCCGCAUGGUUAAAUAAUACACAUGCGGACAUGCGGUUUAGUUGAUUUGGUCUUACAGAUAUUAUGGAUUUCUGGUUUAGAUACCGGAAUCGCUGAUAAAUACCACGCCUAGCCUCUGUUUCCCUUCCUUAGCAAACAGUGCUAAGCACACGUUUAUGGCAUUCCUGUCUACCCUGAAGCAAAAUAAAGGAACAACCCGUGGUAAAAGGCUUGUAUAUGGCCCAAUCAAUUAAACAUUGACAUGGCGGAAGCCGAAUAUAUGGUUCUUCCAGUUAUUGGUUACCCUUUUGCAUUCUCAGAGCAAUUGAAUUAAUAUGAUGAUAAAACGUACUAACCAGUUAAGUACCAUGGUUUCAGAACCAUAUUCUGAUAUUCAUACAGGCAAAUCAUUUUGAGGCGAAGAACCGGAUGUCUUUUUCCUCAAAGUAACUUAAACCAAGCUACCGGUCCUAUAGCUUGGGGUCUCAUUGCGCAUGCGUAUCUACUGUAGUGUGUUGUUGUUUGUUUUGUACAACUUAUAAGAUACUCUGCAUAUGAUGCCUAUGAAUGUAAGAUCAUGUAGCAAUGUUUUUUUUCCUUCUUUCCGGGAGAGCCUUUAGCUGCUAACAAACAUUGUGUUGUUUAUUGUGUGAGAGUUUUAAGCAGAGGAACCAAGUAGAAACUGCCCAGGCCUUACUUGUGUUGAUGUGAUGCCUUAGCAUAUAUGAUUUCAAAUCAAACAUUGUUAUAUCUUCUAAAUCAGUGUUUCCCAUCACACAACAUAAAUUAGUGAUUCAAAUUGAUAUGGGAGUGCUCUAAGAAAUUGCCUAAUGUUCGAAACAAUUAGUGGUUCAAAUUGCAAUAUAUUGUAAACGAUUUAUUGUUUUAAGAAUGUUACCAGGGUUUGAGAUUCAAUUGGUGAGGUCGGAUUUACUUUUAUAUUGUUUGGGUCAUGUUUACAUGUUUUUCUUGGUUGCAAGUGCUCUACAAUUUUAUAUUGACCGCACUUAUAAUGCUUAGAGAGUUCCAAGCACGAAACCAUGGUAUGCACGGUUGGUUAGACCUUCAAAAUUAUAUGGUCUCCAGCUCAUCAACUCUUUGAAAAUAAAAGUCAGAGUUUUCUGGUCCACUACUUGCCAGGGAAUACUUACCUUGCCAUUUGGUGUGAUUAUGUGCUCUUAUGGGGCUGGUUUUGUUGUAGAUUGGUGAACUCAAGAGGCUGUUGGAGGGAGGUCAAGUAUGUUGGGUUAUAGAGGCGAGCCCCGACACCAUCAGGCAUUCUUACAUUGUGCACCUGAUCUCUACCAUGUAGUGGAAUGGUCUAUGUGGGCUUGCCCGAGAUUGCCCCUCUUUGCAGGUGAAUUGGGCACUUUACAAACUCGACUUCUGUGCUUCCAUAAUCAAUAGUCCUGAUUGAAUGAGUUGUAUCGGUUAUGUAAACUCGCUUCAUGCGUGACUUACUGUGCACAUAUAAGCUAUGCUAUAUUGUUCAUACACUUCCUAUUCCUGUGACUCAUCAUCUGGAUGGUAGAGUAAUAAUUAGUUGUGACGUUUGUUGGUAUAA